UAGACCACUCCGCAGCGUAAAUUAUCAACGCCUCAUUUUACAAGGUGCUCCCUCUAAGAAAUACAUUAGUGGUUAUGAAAAACGUAGCUGUGGGAAUUCUGCUCGCAGUACAUAUCAAACUUGUGACAACACAGGUUCAAUGCCCCGUCAGAUACGGCGCGCAAGGUUGCACAAUCUUCGGCAUGACGCUAGGGGCAGGACAAAGUGUCAGUCUUCGGAACCCAUGCGUGCAUGUUGAAUGCAGUGGCAUUAGACCCAGAGUUACAGUGACAGGGUGUCAAGCUGGCGGCGGCGCAAACCAACAUCCUCCCGGGGCGCCAGGUGGACCAGUUGGGAACUGGCCACACUGCUGCUCCAGAUGUCCCUCCUUUGAGGCGAGGAGGAUGAUGACAGUGACGAUGGUGUUCCUUGGAUCAUCGGUACCUACCCACUGUGGGGAAUCGGCCUUGAGUCGGACGGAUCAUGCAGUCAGAAUUUUUCGAAAGUGCUAAUAGAGAUUCGAUAUUGACUUAUCACAAACUGUUAACUGUGGCAUUAACAAUGCAGCCACAGUUUCUCAGGAUAUCAUUUUCGCCUGCAUUAGGCGAGUUCCGAAUAGUCAUAUAAGUGUGCCUAAUAAAGGAUGUAGUGCUU